rnacentral:rRNA from 1 species
GCUUACGGCCAUACCACCCUGAAUGCGCCCAAUCUCGUCUUAUCUCGGAAUUUAAGCAGGGUCAGGCCUGGUUAGUACUUGGAAAAUCGGCAGCAGAUGCA